GACGAACGCUGGCGGCGUGCUUAACACAUGCAAGUCGAACGGAAAGGCCCUGCUUGCAGGGUACUCGAGUGGCGAACGGGUGAGUAACACGUGGGUGAUCUGCCCUGCACUUCGGGAUAAGCCUGUGCAACUGGGUCUAAUACCGGAUAGGAGCCAUUUUUAGUGUGAUGGUUGGAAAGUUUUUUCGGUGUAAGAUGAGCUCGCGGCCUAUCAGCUUGUCGGUGGGGUAAUGGCCUACCAAGGCGGCGGCGGGUAGCCGGCCUGGGAGGGUGGACGGCCCCCAUGGGACUAGGGGAAGGGCCAGACUCCUACGGGAGGCAGCAGUGGGGAAUAUUGCACAAUGGGGGCAAGCCUGAUGCAGCGACGCCGCGUGGGGGAUGACGGCCUUCGGGUUGUAAACUCCUUUCGCUAGGGACGAAGCUUUUGUGACGGUACCUAGAUAAGAAGCACCGGCUAACUACGUG
rnacentral:rRNA from 1 species